rnacentral:rRNA from 1 species
UACGGGGGGGGCAAGCGUUGUUCGGAAUUACUGGGCGUAAAGGGCUCGUAGGCGGCCAACUAAGUCGGAUGUGAAAUCCCCAGGCUCAACCUGGGAACUGCAUCCGAUACUGGAUGGCUUGAAUCCGGGAGAGGGAUGUGGAAUUCCAGGUGUAGCGGUGAAAUGCGUAGAUAUCUGGAGGAACACCGGUGGCGAAGGCGGCAUCCUGGACCGGUAUUGACGCUGAGGCGCGAAAGCCAGGGGAGCAAACGGG